rnacentral:lncRNA from 1 species
UUGGGAAAGACUCUUCGGGCAAGACUGAAAGAGAAGGACAACGUUAACUUUGAGAGGUGCCUUUGUGGGGCCUUAGGUGUAGGCCUUGAGGCUCACAAUCAAGGUUAACAUUUUAGUGCUCAGGCGUGCCACUGCCAUCUUCAGCAUGGUAGAUGUCGAAUGGAUGUCAAGUUUUAGUUGUGAAUAUGCAUAUGCCCGAGGAACCGUGUUAGAUAUAACAGGCGCCUUUGUGGGGCCUUAGGUGUAGGCCUUGAGGCUUCCUGUCAAACUAAAUCAGCACUUGAGCAUAUUAUAUUCGGUCUUUAUGGUUGUCGGGGUCUGAUAACUAUUAUAUUUCUGAUUAUCCGAGUCUGAGAGGUAGAGCGAACCCAAAUAGGUGCCUUUGUGGGGCCUUAGGUGUAGGCCUUGAGGCUUCCUAUUAGAGUCCGUUCUUAUACUCAAACCAUUUAGACCGCAGAAUAGAAUGAAUCCAGAUAAGUGCCUUUGUGGGGCCUUAGGUGUAGGCCUUGAGGCUUCCUAUCAGAAUCCGUUCCAUACUUAAGCGUUCUAUGAUAAUCAUGAUAUAAUAGAAAUAAAACCAAGAGGUAGGUCGAUUACUUGUGCCCCAAGUAACUUCAGACUUCUCGUUUAUCAAUGAUUGUCGUGGAUGGGUUAAGUCCACAUAAAGUUCUUUUUUAUGCCUUGAGGCCAAGGACUUUUAAACUAAUCAGAUUUACAUGCAUGCGGGCUUAGGACUUGGAUUUGAUUUAAACACUGAAGAUAUAUUUAAAUCGGAUCCAAGUACUGAGAAAGCUUUGUCAUCGUGAUUUUGCUAGAAACAACUUGCAUAUAACUAGAAAUAUACAACAUAUUGCUAGACUUUAAAGAAAGAGAAGACAAAGACAGAACAAAGCAGGUCGGGCAAGAUUAAACCUUAUCAAUUAAGGCCGAUCGUCUUGCAGGUCCCUAUCUUUGUAGUUCUGUCAAAGGUCUGAAAGCUUAGAGGGGGAGAGGGGAAGGGAGAAUACAAAAGGUGAAUCGAUACUACAACAAGUUUGAACAAGGUAGCAUAGCUAUUACAAAGGUUGGGAGAAAAGACUAUCCCGCAGGGGAUGAAAGCUUGAGCUGACUACAGCUUUGUUUUGAAAGGCAAUUCUGGCUUUUUUAGCAGAGUUUGUGCUUUUGUUUGUUUGAUUGAGUGUCCUUAUCUUUGUCUUCUCUUCCUCCUUUUAUAGACGACUUGGUUUGGCUCCUGUAGCAACAGCUUUGCCCGAAUGCGGUCUGAGGGUGAUGACUCAUCAGUUUUAUUACAUGUAAUGCCCCCAUAAAGUACUUUAUGGGCUGUGCAGUUUGAUCAGUCUACACCACUUGGUCCUUGGGUAGGUAGGCAAGUGGCCUUUGUGAAUUGUAUCAAGUCAGAAAAGGCCCUUUCCUGCUUUCCCAAGUUUCGGCCGGGCUUUGAUCUUCUAUUCCUCCAGGCCUCCUUUUGGGCCUACUCCAUCCUUGGGCCAAAAAUCAAGUUUUAAUCCAAACAGUGCCCCCUUCAAUUGAUAUUAAACCUGGAAUUCCAGGCGCCAAUAUUAAUUGAAAGAAACUCUUUAUUAUACCCAUGAAACCCUUGCGAUUGAACUUCUCAAUUUCUGUGUUCCGUAGAAAGAAAUCCUUCUGCGAUUAAAAACUUUCCUGCUUCCCACUAUUCUUCUCUGUUGCCCGACAAGUUUGCAUCCUUAUCAUCUUCCUUGUUUUCUCUCUCGACCUCCAUAAAAUGGCUUCAAGAUCCAGCCAAACACCACCAUCUUACGAAUCCAGCGACGGAAUCGCCACUCUACGCCGUCUACUCAACGGGCUGCAUCGUCCGCGGGCAGGUUUAUAUUCUGAGCUUUUCUUUGAGACGCAUGGAAUACAAUCAUUGGGCCCCGCCUGGAUUUCUCGGGUCCCCUCAGUGGUGGAAAGCAACAUGCCGAGGGAGAACUGGUUUACCCCAAAUCCCUAUUCGGCUAGUUCGGGCAUCUCCUCCUCGAAAUGGUCAUCAUAUCGUCGAGGAUUUCCCUUGAUGAAUGAUCCUACCUGGGCCCAAUGGGUUGACGAAUUAGAGCCUUCCUUCAAGCAGAAAUGGAUGAAUAACGGUAUUUAUGAACUGAUCAUGCUUUCGAAGACUUCAGUUAUCCCUAAGCCCGAAUUAGUUACUUCUGCCCUCCUUUUUUGGAAUACGGGCACAAAUACUUUCGAUUUCCGUAUGGGCCCCAUGUCUCCCACCAUUCUUGAUAUGGCCCAGGUCUUCGGUUUAAGGCCAUCGGGCAGGAUAGUGGACGUUACUCAAGACUGGGUUCCGUCUUCUACCACCAGGAGCUCGAGUUCAUCUACCCUCUUCCUUCCUCUAAGCUAUAACUCCGCGACUUUCAAGAGUUAUGGGACCUCCUUAAAGGAUUCAUUCCUUUUGUAAAGGUAAAUUUUGGGGCAGGCUCCCCUCGGGCUGACAAAGAUCAAGAGCAUAUGUAUUUUCUUUUAUACUGGCUCAACAAGCACAUCUUCCCCAACAAAUCUAAAGGAGUGAGGGUAGAAUGGAUCCCCUUGGUAGAGAUUCUUCACAAUUUUGAUGAUGUAGCCACAGGUCCAUUCCUUCUUUCUCAUCUCUAUCACCUUCUUUUUGAAAUGACUCGAGACGAGCCAUUCGAGACCAACUUGAAUGGACCCAUCUGGAUGAUACAAAUCUGGCUGCAAUGGUAUUUUCCAGAAUUUCGAGCUGCUAAUCUGGAGUUCCCAGAGGGUGUGGCUCCUGCCCGAAUCCUGGCUAAAGCUCCCCCUGUAGACCAUUUUACAUUUGCCUGCUUUUACUUUUUCAGAGUCUGCAGGACUCGAUCAGACUUGGAAUGGGGUGCGUCAGUCUUGAGGAGAUAUCCUUGGUUCUCUGACCAAGCCUUCCAAGAUGCCACUGGUGAGGAUGCUACCCCCCUCUCAAUUUGAUCCGUCCACAGGAGUUAUAUUGCACUUCGUGGAUGAGGAUGAUCCCUUGGUAAAUUAUUAUUUCCUCAUUGAAAUUCUGCACAUUGCUACCUAAUUAACUCUUUUUAUGUUUCCUGCAGCCAUCUUUAGUAUAUGAGCCACCUCCCUCACUAGUGGUCUUGGAUAAGGAACCCAUAGUUCCUGAGAUCCCUGUAGCUUCAGAUGCAGCGAUUUCGCAGGCGUUUGCUCGCCCGAUAGUUGAUGAACCUUCUUCUCCUCCUCAAGAUCAGACUCAAGUACUGGAAUAUUUUCUUCUUGCUUCUUCCUCUGGUGACCCUUUUACUGACAAUUACUGCUUCCUUUGGAUAUAUCCAGGAUGCAGGCACAGGUUCAGGCGCAGCUCUUUCCCCUCCUGCUGGCGGUGAAGAACCUUCUCCCCAACCAAGAGUUAGUACAUUCUCUGGUGAAACUCCGGGGCUGAGUCAGGUAAACUUCUUCUCUCCAGAACCUCUUUUGCUUUAACCUGUAUUCAGAUUAUCUUGACCGAGUCUUUUGGUUUUUGUAGCAAGCUUCAAAAGAAACUUCCCCUCCUCUAUUGGCUCGUAAAUCAAAGCGCCCCCAUCCUCAUUCAUCUUCUGGAGGUAUUGGUACUUCCCCCUCUGGAGUUGAGCAGACUAAACAGGCAGAGAUUGCCCCCUCAAUAGGCAUUGUCUUAUCGGAGGGAACUAUCACGUUGGACCCUCCUCCUUUCCCAUCCUCUGAUCCUGCCAAGCUGCCCAAACUCUUUGAAGCACUCGGGCGACUUGAGACGCGGUUGAAAUCUUCAAUGCAGCCUUCAGCAACCUCCAUGUCUUCGGAGCAACAGCAAAUCUUUUAAGAAUGGGCAAAGAAAGAAUUUACCGCGUCAUUUAGUCUCAAGGCUCUUUGUGAUCUUGAGAAGGUCAUAACUGAAUUUUUCAAAACCGGUCGUUUGUCCAAGCCUCAGCACGAUUCUUUCCUCUCUUUCUUCGAGAACCUGAGGGCUCUUAGGGAACAAUAACAGAGAGCGGAUAGACAGGCUAACCGGGCAAAAUGCUUUAUGGAAAAGGAAUCAAACUCUUCUACUCAAGUCAACCGACUGAUGGGAGAAAGCAUGCAGACUAAAGAAAGGGUUAAAGUGAUUUCUUCUGAAAUCCAGAAGCUGGAAGAGCAACUGGUUGCUCUUAAGGAAGAACAAACCACUCUUCUGGACACCCUUGAACACCAAAUCGAAGGGGUAGAGAAAGCAACUUCGGAGUUAAAGCAAGCCAAGUCCCAACUUGUAAACCACCAUACUGUCUUGGCCGAACCCAAUAGGAUUUUUACCAUCAUGCGAACAUAUCAUUCCAGAAUAAUCACUCUUUGUGAAGAUGUAAAGUUUUUAGCAUAGAAUGAUUUGUAACCCCUUUUUGUAUUAGAAUGAACAUGUAAUUUGCUUCUUGCUCUACCAUAUCUGAAUUGACUUUGGGCAACUCUUUGCCCCUCUGUCUACACACUUUUCUCCUCCCUCUUCCCUGUUGACAACCUUAUAAUCUGCCCCUGGUCCUCCGGUCUCCUCGUGGCACCUCUAUUCAGCCAAUACCCCUGGCUCUUUAAAAAUGAGGUUGAUCAUAUUGAUAGGAGCCUCCGGAAAAAGGGUUAGUGUCCACCAUCAUACUGGCUUGGGGUGAGUCAAGCAAUAGCUUCCCCUUCACUAUAAGAUCUUGUACCCAAUCUCUAAACUGGACACAAUUAACUAUAGAAUGGUUGAAGGUAUAAUGCAGCUUGCAAUACUUUUUCCCCCUGAGUUCCUCGGGCUUGGGCAUCUUUUUGGCACUGUCGGGCAAAAUUACUCUCGCCCGCACCAACUCUUCAUAGAUCUCCGGUGCCUUGGUUAAAUCAAACGAAUAGCUCUGAUACUUUGGGGGUUUCAUGGGGACGAAACCACCAUCAUUCAUCACGAUCUUCUGAUCCUUGACAGGUUGGACUAAUCCUUUGAUCGUCAAUGGUUUGAAGGGUGUGGUCAUCUCAGCAGCACAUACAUCUAUAUUUUCUUCCUCAUGACCAUCCUCGUGUUCGGGCCUGGUUUCUCCCACCUCCACAUGGUGAAUAGUAGCCUUGCUUUUGUAGAAAUGAUGGACUUUGGAAGUGUGCUUCACUUGCUGUUCCUCUUGCAACAACCUCUCGUACUUCGUGGCAGCAAUCACGAGUUCUUGUAGCUCAUUAAACUGUGUAUCAUAAAAUCUUUUUCUCAAAGGUAAUUUUAAAGCCCUUUGAGCAAUGGAUAUGAGUUGUGCUUGAUUGAUAGGGAAUUGGCAUCUCAUCCUUGUUCUCCUGAACCUCAUCAUGAAGUCUUCCGUGGACUCAUGAUCGUAUUGUUUUACCUCUACUAGAUCAUGGAUGGUCAAUUCUGGUUCUAUUCUGUAGAACUGUUCAUGGAAAGCCAUCUCCAUCUGCCCCCAGUUGGCAAUAGAGUUGGGGGGUAAUAGAGAAUACCAUUGAGACGCCAAUCCUGCCAAUGAAUUUCCAAACAACCUCAAUUUGUAGUUUGGAUUGUCCUCAUACGCCACACAGUGAUUAGAGAAUUUGAAAAUAUGGUCUCUGGAGGACACACUGCUGUCUUCACCUGUGAAGGUAGGGAAUGCGGGCAUCUUGAAGUUAGAAGGGAAUGGAUUUAGCUCGUCGAUAUAUUCAGGAUACGGCUUCUGGUAAGUAAUCCUGAAUACUGGGCGAGCCCGCGGUUGGGCGUUUUGAGUCACCGUUCUUCUUAACUCAGCCAACUCCUCCCUUAGUUGCUGAGUGGCUAAAUUAUCAUUAUGACCGAGGAUAGCUGAUCCAAUCUUCGGGCUCCGGUCAUUGCCCACAUUUGCUUCUCUCCUUGGUUCGGGCUUCCUCCAGUUAGAUCCUCCACCUUUAUUGACCAUCGGGGGUGGUCUAUAGGGUGGAGGUUAUUUGACGCAGUAGUGGUAGUCUCCUGGAGGUUCCAAGCCGAUGGUUGUUGAAGAUUCAAAGACGAGGUUUAUUAUGUACAGUAUUAGCAGGGAACAUGAAGCUUUGCUCAAACAAGUAAUUAUAGAAAUAGAUAAUUGCACUCACAAGGUGUUCGUGGCAGGAAUUCCCGUAGGGGAUGUUUCCUGGCCAACGAGCACACAGCUCCCCUAGAGGUUCGGCGCCGGUUGAGGGCUGCUGUCGGGCUUCUGCUUUCCUGUCGGGCUUUGUCGGGCAAGUCUCGUUGGGAAAGACUCUUCGGGCAAGACUCUUCGGGCAAAACUGAAAGAGAAGGACAGCGUUAACUUUGAGAGGUGCCUUUGUGGGGCCUUAGGUGUAGGCCUUGAGGCUCACAAUCAAGGUUAACAUUUUAGUGCUCAGGCGUGCCACUGCCAUCUUCAGCAUGGUAGAUGUCGAAUGGAUGUCAAGUUUUAGUUGUGAAUAUGCAUAUGCCCGAGGAACCGUGUUAGAUAUAAUAGGCACCUUUGUGGGGCCUUAGGUGUAGGCCUUGAGGAUUCCUGUCAAACUAAAUCAGCACUUGAGCAUAUUAUAUUCGGUCUUUAUGGUUGUCGGGGUCUGAUAACUAUUAUAUUUCUGAUUAUCCGAGUCUGAGAGGUAGAGUGAACCCAAAUAGGUGCCUUUGUGGGGCCUUAGGUGUAGGCCUUGAGGCUUCCUAUUAGAGUCCGUUCUUAUACUCAAACCAUUUAGACCGCAGAAUAGAAUGAAUCCAGAUAAGUGCCUUUGUGGGGCCUUAGGUGUAGGCCUUGAGGCUUCCUAUCAGAAUCCGUUCCAUACUUAAGCGUUCUAUGAUAAUCAUGAUAUAAUAGAAAUAAAACCAAGAGG